GGGCCCGUAGCUCAGCUCGGUGGAGCGCCCGGCUGAUAUCAGCCAGGUAUGUCAGAGACCGGGCGGUCGGGGGUUCAAAUCCCCCCGGGCCCA
rnacentral:tRNA from 1 species